rnacentral:rRNA from 1 species
CGAGGAGGUAGGGCUUACGCUCGCGUUUGUCUGUUAUAUCUUGGUGGACGAGUCGUCGUGGUUGGGACUGAGGUGCCUACAACGUGCUUUUGAGUGGGUUUGUGUCUCCGUGUGCGCCGUGUGCGGAUAGCUUGCUAUGUAUGUGUGGUUGUGUGUGGAUUGAUGCGGGCCUUAACUUGUCGCCGUUCGGGACGUUGACGAAAUGGAGCGAUCCGACCCGUCUUGAAACACGGACCAAGGAGUCUAACAUGUGUGCAAGUGUUAGGGUGUGGAAACCCCAGCGCGAAAUGAAAGUGAAGGGCAGCGCAAGUUGUCUGAGGUAGGAAACGUUGUGGACUUCGGUCUGCGGCGUGGCACUAUCGACCGAUCAUGAACCUUCGUGGUGAAAGAUUUGAGUUUGAGCACAUAUGUUGGUACCCGAAAGAUGGUGAACUAUGCCUGAGUAGGGUGAAGCCAGGGGAAACUCUGGUGGAAGCUCGUAGCGAUUCUGACGUGCAAAUCGAUCGUCAAACUUGGGUAUAGGGGCGAAAGACUAAUCGAACCAUCUAGUAGCUGGUUCCCUCCGAAAUUUCCCUCAGGAUAGCAGCAACUUAUUUACGAUAGUUUUAUGAGGUAAAGCGAAUGAUUAGAGGAUUCGGGGAAGAAACUUCCUCGACCUAUUCUCAAACUUUAAAUCUGUAAGACCUGCAGGUUUCUUAAU